rnacentral:rRNA from 1 species
CCUACGGGUGGCAGCAGUGGGGGAUAUUGCACAAUGGGGGGAACCCUGAUGCAGCGACGCCGCGUGGGUGAAGGAGUGCUUCGGCAUGUAAAGCCCUAUCGGCAGGGAAGAAGCAAGACGGUACCUGACUACGAAGCCCCGGCUAACUACGUGCCAGCAGCCGCGGGAAUACGUAGGGGGCGAGCGUUAUCCGGAUUCACUGGGUGUAAAGGGAGCGUAGACGGCAAUGCAAGCCAGGGGUGGACGCCCGGGGCCUAACCCCGGGACUGCCCUUGGAACUGGGAGGCUGGAGUGCGGGAGGGGCAGGUGGAAUUCCUGGUGUAGGGGUGAAAUGCGUAGAUAUCAGGAGGAACACCGGCGGCGAAGGCGGCCUGCUGGACCGCGACUGACGUUGAGGCUCGAAAGCGUGGGGAGCGAACAGGAUUAGAUACCCGGGUAGUC